AGAAGCGGGGGAUAACACCUGGAAACAGAUGCUAAUACCGCAUAACAACUUGGACCGCAUGGUCCGAGCUUGAAAGAUGGCUUCGGCUAUCACUUUUGGAUGGUCCCGCGGCGUAUUAGCUAGAUGGUGGGGUAACGGCUCACCAUGGCAAUGAUACGUAGCCGACCUGAGAGGGUAAUCGGCCACAUUGGGACUGAGACACGGCCCAAACUCCUACGGGAGGCAGCAGUAGGGAAUCUUCCACAAUGGACGAAAGUCUGAUGGAGCAACGCCGCGUGAGUGAAGAAGGGUUUCGGCUCGUAAAACUCUGUUGUUAAAGAAGAACAUAUCUGAGAGUAACUGUUCAGGUAUUGACGGUAUUUAACCAGAAAGCCACGGCUAACUACGUGCCAGCAGCCGCGGUAAUACGUAGGUGGCA
rnacentral:rRNA from 1 species